rnacentral:tRNA from 1 species
GGGCCCGUAGCUCAGCGGUAGAGCAUCUGACUUUUAAUCAGAGGGUCUCGGGUUCGAUCCCCGACGGGCUCACCA